CUCACUCCUCCCUCUCUCCAGCAGUGUUAUGUUAAGUAGCUGGUCUGCUUUCUGUCUGUGGCUGUACUCCUUGGGUUUCAAUUCCAAACAUGGUUAUCUUUCUAGGGGUCUCUCUCCUCUCUCUCUCUCUCUCUCUGCUGCCAACUGUGAGCACUCCAGAGCAAACAAAUGGGUGAGGAGAAAUAGAAAAUCUAUAGACAGACAAAUCAUUGAAGGGACGAGAGGGAGGGAGAGACGCACAAUGUGAGAAAUCCAUUCCAAUUGUGUUUACGGUGUAAUAACCGAAUAAAGACACAUCGUGUACUCCAGCUGUAUGUAAGGGAAAAGGGAACAAUCUUUUUCAACGUUUUGACUGAACUUUUGAGAAAUAGACCAACUCCAGUGACAAUUGUUCAGUUUCACUGAUAAAGCAACCAAAAACUUCAAGAUUUAGUGGAGGACAACCUUUUUCUACCAGCUUUGACCUCUGGUGUCUUUUGUCAGCUUUGGAAUAUAACACAUUUUAAAAACUUAUUGAACAACUAGAUGUUUGGUUUGGAAUAACAGCCUCCCUUACCAUGUGUGCAGACAACUCCACCCUGUUGGAGGCGGUUCUCUACGGCCAUCCACCAUGCGAUGGCUGGACCAACAACACUGAGGGGGCCUUCUACCACCUGGGCAACACCGUCUUGUUCCUUGGGUACAUGGGAGGCAGCGGCGCCUAUGGCUGCCUGUUCAUAUUUGGUUUCCUGACGAUUGCCUUCACCUGCCUGGCUCUGUGGGGCUGGAUGACCAUGUGUGGGGUGGAUGUGUUCACCUGGAACUUGCUACUGCUGGUGGCCUGUGUGCUCCAGAUCUGCCACCUCGUAUACAGGCUGCAACAGGAUGGCCUGGCCAGCGAGGAGCUGUUGGCCCUCUACUCAGCCGUCUACCAGCCCCUGGAUGUUCCCGUACAGGUGUUCAAAGAUAUUGUGGGGGCCUGUGAGAACAAAGUGCUAGCACUAGGGGUAGAGGAGACGUAUGCGGUGGAGGGCAAGACGCCCAUCGACCAGCUCUCCUUUCUGCUGUCUGGGAGGAUCCGUGUGUCUCUGGAUGGACAAUUCCUCCAUUACAUCUUCCCCCACAAGUUCCUGGACUCUCCUGAGUGGGAGUCUCUCCGACCCAACGAAGAGGGGAACUUUCAGGUGACCCUGACAGCGGAGACGGACUGCCGCUACAUCUCAUGGCGUCGGUGCCGCCUUUACAUGCUUCUGUCCAAGGAGCGCUACAUUGCCCGCCUCUUCUCCAUCAUGCUGGGCAGCGACAUCGCCGACAAGCUCUACUCACUCAACGACAAGCUCUUCGCGAAGAGUGGCGUGCGCCUCGACAUUCGAUUGCCCAGCCUCUACCACGUCCUGGCCCCCUCCUCCCUGGGCAGCGAGGGGGAGGUCUAUAGCGGCAGUGGUAGUGGGAGUGCCAGGGACCAGGUAGCCCCAGUGGAACAGCAGCAAGCAGCAGUGGUAGAUGUGGACCCGGUUCCAGCCUACCAGAGGUCAGAGCCUCCAACACCCCCAACCCCUCGGCUGCAGAUCCGAGAGAAGAUCCCCACCCCAUCUCGGCCAACCCCCCGCCAACCAUCCCAGCGCCAGCCCUCAGACAUGGAGAUGCCAUCUGGUGAGGACUCUACCAGCCUGGUCCUAGAAGACUUUGCGGAUAUGACCGGGUCCUUAAUGGAUUAUGGGAGUGAGAGGGAUUAUUUGAGGUAGAUGGCAGGUUGCUGGAGCUAACACACUGGGCCACUACUUAAGAUACAUGAUGUCCCCCAGUCCUCAGGAUCACCUGCACUUCAGCACUCUUGUCCAGGAGGAACACCUCCAGCUGCACCAGGAUGUGAUGGGCUGGGGAAGAGGAGGAGGGGACGGGAUGUAACUUGAUCAUCAUCACAUGAGAUAUUGCUGUAUUUAACCAUUCAACUGUGGGGUCAAAGUAGUGGGCAUAAUGAACAUCCAACAAUUGUCUGAUGGACAGCCAGUCUGUGUUUUUACAUAGAGGUAAAUGUUGGCUACUCACCACAGAAGGGAGGUGCAGAAGUUGUCAGGAGGAAAAGCUUAUUUGGUUGAGGAAGAGGAAAGACUGUUAAACCACUGUUCUCCAAUAACCCUGAAACACACAAGGACACAUGCACAUACAAAAGACAGAGAGAGUAAGAUGUAAAAUAGCCAUUCCUAUCACAGUUAUGACAGAUGAAAGGCCUCCAGAGUACAUUUACUGCUUUAUCUGUAUCAGUCUGUCACUGCAUCAGCAGCUCCAAUGUGGCCAGACCAGACAUGACACUAGCUAGGUCAGACAGUUGCCCUAUCUCUCACUGAGUGAAACCUGACUAAAGUAAACAUGGAAAGUGUGCUUGGAAGUUUGAAUAAUACCAAAAUAUCUCAUGUAAACACGUGAUCAAAAUAGUUUGUGCAUAGUCUACUCUAGGCUACAUGUAAAAGGUGGCUAUUUAUAAUAUUUACAUUUGUAUGACCAACGUACUCACAGACAGCAGGUUGGUAUAAUAUCUGGGGAAAUAGUUCAUGUUGAUGAUGUCCUUACCUAUUCGUGGACAUCUGCCUGGGCAGCCUAAACAGCGCCCCUUGAGGAAGUCCUCAUAGCUGGAACAAGGGAUACCAGUCAGUGGGCAGGUCCCGUUCAGUGCACUUAUGUAGACGUGGAGCGCCCUCAUGUGGUCACAGAUCACAUAGCUAUACACUGGAAAGUAGACAAGAACUGAUCACAAACGAAGAUUCUCAGGCAGCCAGAAGCUUACCACUAAAUAGCCUAUAGGCUAGUAAACAUAGUGCUUACUGUUUAGUUAGUGAAUAAUCAAAAAACAUCAACAGUUGUUUAAGUUGAAAGACAUGUCUGAAGUUUAUAUUGAAAUUCAUACACACUUAGGUUAGGCCUCUUUGCCAAUGAAGCAUUUCGGCGGCAAAAUGGUCUUACUUGACGUAGACCUGGAGCGCGAGCAACCUGCUUGGUCCAUCCCGCCAUUUAGAAAGAAGUCUGCAUGGCCGACAGAGAUGGAGAUGCCGAAAUCUGAGAGAAAAGGAUGAUAUUUGAUGUCGAAUGGCUGAUACCAGGACAUUGUCAUAUUGUCAUUCCAGUGAACAGUGAGACUUUUGAAAUAGAGUAGGCCUAAGAGGAAAAGAUGGAAUGGUAGCAGAAAUCUCUUUGCAAUAACAAUGAUUAUUUGUGUGUAGCCUAUUCUCUCACAGUCGGAGUCAGUGUGGAUGGCCUCCACAAACAGUGCAUCUGAGGGGUCAAGACGGUCAAACGUGUCGGCUCUUUUAAACAUUGGUCCAGCCGGGUCCAGACCUACAGCAGGAGAUACAGAGCCACCCAAUCCAUGGUCCGCUUGCGUGCCUCCUCCCAGCUGUACCGUGGAGCGUACCCCAUGUCCCUCUGAGCCCUCUGAUAAGAAAAGCUGAAGGGUGUGUUCAGCAUGGUGAGGAGCUGCCGGUUUAUGGGCGGUGUGAAGCGCUUGAAGGGGCAGAGCAGUAUCUGCAGCAUCUCCAUGAGGAAACAGAGGAGGUAGAGGACUGGGAUGGGCAGGAUAGGCUUCUCCUGGAUGCUGAAGCCCAGCGGCGACAACACAGCAUGGUUGAAGUCAGAGUAGCUGACAGGCGGCGUGUCAUCUGAGAUGUAGUAGAAGUUCCCUCCGAUGGCGGCUCUCCGCUGGGGGUCUCGCAGGGCACGGGCAGCCUGGAGGUGGGCCAGGGCCGCAUUCCCCACGUAUACAGGGUUCACCUGGGCCUCCGGGCGGGAGGUCCGGUACAACAUAUCCCCGUUCCGAAUCCCGUCUCCCAUAUGGCCCAGCAGGAAACGGCAGCCCUCUCCAUAGAUGUACAUGGGUCGGAGGGCGCAGGUGGCCAGCCGGCCCCCAUUCUGGAGCACCUCACCCUGGGCUUGCAGGGUGACCUGCUCGGCCUCCUUCUUGGUCUUGCUGUAGGGGAACUUUAGGGAGCAUGUGUAGGGUGUGUUCUCAUCACCGUUGAUGAUGGGGUCUCCGUUGGCGUUGGGGCCGGCGACUUCGAUGCUGCUGGUGUAGAUGAAGGACACCACAUUCUCCUGGACGCACGUCUCCAGAAGGAGCUGGGUUCCUGAGAAAGAUAUCAGAUGAAUGAGUAUAUCAGCAGGGUCAAUUCCGUUUUCAAGAGCAGUUCAAGUAUUUGAAAGUAUUGGACAUGUUUAUUUCACUCAGGUCUGCUGCCAAUCUCAACCCAAAGCUUCAGUAAAAUCUGAUCAUACCUUUGACGUUGACCCUGUGAAGCUCACUGUAUAACACCUUCCCGGUGACGUCAAUGAGGGACGCAGUGUGGAAGACCAGCGAUGCUCCCUUGCACGCUCUCCUCAGCAGGUCACUAUCACUAAUGUCCCCUUCAAAUACGCUUACCAGCGUGUCCCCUCUGAUCUCUGACAACAAAUCAAUCAGAGAAGAAAGAAACUAAAGAAAAGUUGUAAAAUAUCUAUAUUUACACUAUUUACCCUAAUAGUGAGAGAGAAAAAAGGAGAGCUGGUAUAGUAUUUACCUUCCAGACACUGUAUGAGUUGUGGUCGGACAUGUAUGUCCAGCAUACGGAUCUCUGUGAGCUUGUCUUCCUCCAGCAGCAGCCGUACCAGCCUCUCUCCCAGGAACCCACAGGCUCCUGUCACCACACACACAUCACCUUGCAGAGACAUGGCCCAGUCCAAAAUCUGAAACUACUACCCCUUUCAGAAAACUCCCUUUCCUAAGCACUGGGAAUGACCAAUGCUCCAGACUUUGUCCCGUCCUAAAACUCCUCUGCUAUCCCGAGGGCAUGGCAGACACUAACUUAACACCCCUCUCCCCUCUCUGAAAACUCCCUUUUUCUAGCCUGAGGGAAUGUGCUAGAAGUGCCGGUAACUGCCACUCUGGGGUGAGAAGUGAGGCAAGGUCUACAGGCAGGCAUACGCAAGAGAGGGAGGGAGGACAGGGAUGUUUUAUUUCCCAGUAUCUGCCAAGGACGGCUGCCAAUGCUACAGGUCACAGACCAGCCAUGGAAAACAGAAGACUUGAAUGUCAAGGCGACGUCUGACUAACAAUUUGUUUUUGUCCCCUGUUGACAGUGAUAAACUGACCAGAGUCAGUUUAUCAGAUUUAGUGGCUCUGGCUGGUUUAUUUUGACAGGCUUGGCCAUGGAUUCUCUACAUGCUCUAUAAAACAUCUAUAUAUUCACCCUGUGUCAUUUAUUCCAGAUUUUAAACCUAAUCCGGAACUGCAUUAGGAUCAGUUUGGUCAUGAGUAGCAUAUGUUGAAGUAGUUUUAUCCUCUCAUAAACUGCCAAAUGUAUGUGAUUGCAGGUGGUUUUGUGACAUUUUGAACAGCUCAAGAUUCUAGAGUAACACACUGGACAUACCUCUUUCCCAAAUGUAUUUAAUUUAUUAAUUUAUUUUGCUCCUUUGCACCCCAUUAUUUUUAUUUCUACUUUGCACAUUCUUCCAUUGCAAAACUACCAUUCCAGUGUUUUACUUGCUAUAUUGUA